rnacentral:rRNA from 1 species
AGUGAGCGCUGGCGGUAGGCCUAACACAUGCAAGUCGAACGGCAGCUCAGUAAGAGCUUGCUCUUACGGGUGGCGAGUGGCGGACGGGUGAGGAAUACAUCGGAAUCUACUUUUUCGUGGGGGAUAACGUAGGGAAACUUACGCUAAUACCGCAUACGACCUACGGGUGAAAGCAGGGGAUCUUCGGACCUUGCGCGAUUGAAUGAGCCGAUGUCGGAUUAGCUAGUUGGCGGGGUAAAGGCCCACCAAGGCGACGAUCCGUAGCUGGUCUGAGAGGAUGAUCAGCCACACUGGAACUGAGACACGGUCCAGACUCCUACGGGAGGCAGCAGUGGGGAAUAUUGGACAAUGGGCGCAAGCCUGAUCCAGCCAUACCGCGUGGGUGAAGAAGGCCUUCGGGUUGUAAAGCCCUUUUGUUGGGAAAGAAAAGCAGCAGGUUAAUACCCCGCUGUUCUGACGGUACCCAAAGAAUAAGCACCGGCUAACUUCGUG